rnacentral:rRNA from 1 species
CGGCGUGCCUAACACAUGCAAGUCGAGCGAUUCUCUUCGGAGAAGAGCGGCGGACGGGUGAGUAACGCGUGGGUAACCUGCCCUGUACAGGGGAAUAACACACCGAAAGGUGUACUAAUACCGCAUAAGACCACGGGAUCACAUGGUUCUGGGGUAAAAGAAUUAUCGGUUUGGGGUGGGCUCGCGUCCGAUUAGGUAGUUGGUGAGGUAACGGCCCACCAAGCCGACGAUCGGUAGCCGACCUGAGAGGGUGAUCGGCCACAUUGGGACUGAGACACGGCCCAAACUCC